UGUAGUUUUCUUACUCUGUUUUUCUUUUGAGCAUGGCCAUGCCUCCUGUUUGUUCUCUUCAAGUCAUUUUUUUUUGUUUUUUGAAUUUUUUCUGCAUUAUUGUGUAUUCUUUUUUUCUUUUAAUUUGUGUUGGGUAAGAAUAGAGAAAAUGUUUACUGUGGACUGCAAAACGGGGAAUUCCAAGCGUUGAUGAGACUCCUCUUACAACAUUCAAAGCCCUGGGAACUACUUCUUACAUUUACUGUUUCAGACUGAUAAAGUAAUGCCAACAUGAAAAAACUGAAGAAAAUGGUUUUGGCUGUAUGGACACCUGACAGUGCAAGAUAUAAAUUGGCUCCCUUUCGAACAACUGGGUAGUGGUGGUUCUAUAGAACAGAGUUCAAGAUCUACAAUUCCUGCCAAGUAGUGAGAAUAUAUUAGACUGUAUCCCUUUGUUUCAUUCUGAACCAGAAACAUAUGGAAGGUAAUUCAUCAUGGCAAAUCCAAAAUAGAACUAAGAAAACACAUUUCAGCUUUCAAUGCUCAAUUCAGUUUCGGUAAUGCCCAUUUUCUACUGCUGAUUUCCUCUGUUGUCCAUUUGUUCUUUUUCAAUUUACUUAAUUUCUUCCUUGGUGAAGUAGGAUUGUCUACAUGUGC